GUGGGGAAUAUUGGGCAAUGGGCGAAAGCCUGACCCAGCAACGCCGCGUGAAGGAAGAAGGUCUUCGGAUCGUAAACUUCUAUCCUUGGUGAAGAUAAUGACGGUACCUGAGGAGGAAGCCCCGGCUAACUACGUGCCAGCAGCCGCGGUAAUACGUAGGGGGCGAGCGUUGUCCGGAAUGACUGGGCGUAAAGGGCGCGUAGACGGCUGUCUAAGUCUGGAGUGAAAGUCCUGUUUUCAAGGCGGGAAUUGCUUUGGAGACUGGAUGGCUUGAGUGCGGAAGAGGUAAGUGGAAUUCCCAGUGUAGCGGUGAAAUGCGUAGAGAUUGGGAGGAACACCAGUGGCGAAGGCGACUUACUGGGCCGUAACUGACGUUGAAGCGCGAAAGCGUGGGGAGCGAACAGGAUUAGAAACCCGUGUAGUCC
rnacentral:rRNA from 1 species